UACAGAGGUCUCAAGCGUUGUUCGGAUUCAUUGGGCGUAAAGGGUGCGUAGGCGGCGCGGUAAGUCGGGUGUGAAAUCUCGGGGCUUAACUCCGAAACUGCAUUCGAUACUGCCGUGCUUGAGGACUGGAGAGGAGACUGGAAUUUACGGUGUAGCGGUGAAAUGCGUAGAUAUCGUAAGGAAGACCAGUGGCGAAGGCGGGUCUCUGGACAGUUCGACGCUGAGGCACGAAGGCCAGGGGAGCAAACGGG
rnacentral:rRNA from 1 species